rnacentral:snRNA from 1 species
GGAUGUGAGGGCAAUCUGGCUGCGACAUCUGUCACCCCAUUGAUGGCCAGGGUUGAUUCUGCUGAUCUGGCUGGCUAGGCAGGUAUCCCCUUCCUCCCUCACUGCUCCAUGUGUGUCCCUCCUGAAGCUGAGCAUGUUCAGAGGGCAUAUGAGUAGCUGCACUCCCCUGCUAGAACCUCCAAACAAGCUCUCAAAGAAUAUCAGUUUAUGAAGCAAAUUUUAGUUCACUUUAUUAGUUCUAAUGCAGUGGUU